GAUGAACGCUGGCGGCGUGCCUAAUACAUGCAAGUCGAGCGAACAGACGAGGAGCUUGCUCCUCUGACGUUAGCGGCGGACGGGUGAGUAACACGUGGAUAACCUACCUAUAAGACUGGGAUAACUUCGGGAAACCGGAGCUAAUACCGGAUAAUAUAUUGAACCGCAUGGUUCAAUAGUGAAAGACGGUUUUGCUGUCACUUAUAGAUGGAUCCGCGCCGCAUUAGCUAGUUGGUAAGGUAACGGCUUACCAAGGCAACGAUGCGUAGCCGACCUAAGAGGGUGAUCGGCCACACUGGAACUGAGACACGGUCCAGACUCCUACGGGAGGCAGCAGUAGGGAAUCUUCCGCAAUGGGCGAAAGCGUGACGGAGCAACGCCGCGUGAGUGAUGAAGGUCUUCAGAUCGUAAAACUCUGUUAUUAGGGAAGAACAAAUGUGUAAGUAACUAUGCACGUCUUGACGGUACCUAAUCAGAAAGCCACGGCUAACUACGUG
rnacentral:rRNA from 1 species